CAUAUUUGGAGUUUUGGACAACUAAAACUUCUGAGGCCCAACCGUUUGACUAGCACCCAACCUCCCUUUCCUUUCGUUCUCCGCCUCCGACCAGAAGCCUCAUCCUCUUCGUUCUCCGCCUCCGACCAGAACUCGAUCCUCCUCUCUUCCUUCUCUGCCUCGAACCAGCUCCUCUGCUUGAAGACGGUGAAGGGAAUCGAAGUUCGAGGGAUUUGUGAGCUUUUGUGUCAUAGGUUUGCGAGAAACAAGCAUUCUUCAUUGAGCUUUCUGGGCAAGUUCGAGCUUGGUGGGUUUGUGACCAUGUAAUUGCAAUUCAUCUUCUGAGUUUUCUGGGCAUUCUCCAUCUCUGAGGAGACUUCGAUUCUGUGUUCUCUGCCUAUGAAGGUUUCUGUAGCUUGAAGUAGGUUGAUCUUGGUUUUCAAGGUUUCUGAUCUUGGUUUAUAUGCUUACAACAGGCUUCCUUCUGAGUUAAUGGUGUUAAUGGUGAGUCACUGUGAGUCUGUGACUAAAUUCUUUGUUUUCUGUUUGGGUCAUGUGAAUUUUCGGUCUUCAAUUUUAGGGUUUUUGGUAAUUGAUCGAAAAUUGAAUUAUAAAUGGGUGGAGAUUCGGGGAUAUCUGCUUGAAUGAGAUUUAGAAUGCAGAUUUGUGAUAUGGUUGCAGAACAUCUGUGGAGAAGAAUUCAAAGAAUUCAUAUGUAGAAGGUGAGGAAAGAUCUCUUGGUGUAUACUUUCUUUUAGUUAUCUUACCUUCUAUCGGUUGGUUGCAGAACUUGGAAGGUAUGGUAGUCAAAUUGGUUAGAGGAAUACAUUUGCACUUUCAUAUAAUUAAAUGACUCUAACUUGUCAAAUUGUCUUCGUAAUUGUUUGCUAUUGUUGAUUGCGGUCUCUUGUCAUACUGGAAUCAAUGUCAUACACAGGCACACAGCAACCUCAGAUUGCAGAACUAGAUAUAUCAGUUUGACACUUCAGCUUAGCGUGUUAUUUAUUUUACUAUAUAUCAACUAGCUGUGUAUUCGAUCUUAUUUGGGAUUGACUAUUAUUGGGUAGGCAGGUGAGGUCAUGAAAUUUGAGUACCAAAAGAAGGUCGCCUCGCUGAGCAAGCUGAAGAAAUGUAGUACUAACUCAGAAGCAUUGGAGAAAUCAAGAGCAGCAGUGAGUCAUCUACAUAUAAGAUACAUAGUUGACAUGCAAUCCAUGGAUCCAACAGUAUCAAAGAUAAACUCUUUUCGUUCAGCUUGUUGCAGGAUAGAAAACUCUAGGAUAUCAUACUGAAUGCAGCCGAUGCAACAGGCUUCAUGGACAGUUUUGUGGAGACUGUUUGUACAUGAGCAAAAGAAGUUACUAUAUGUUGCAAUGACUCGUGCUCGAACAGAACUCUUCAUCCAUUCCAAUUGGUGAAAACAGAAGAACAAAUGGGAUAUAAGUAUGGCGAAACUUGCUUUCGUUUAUGUUUCUAGUAUUAUGUACCGUUUAGACUUAAAUUUUUGUUUCAUUUCGACAUGUUAUGCAUAGAAAUACUUGGGAUGUUGUUAUGUACUUUGAGCAUCAAUAUUAAUCAAAAUUUAUUUACUUACGA